rnacentral:rRNA from 1 species
AGUGAACGCUGGCGGUAGGCCUAACACAUGCAAGUCGAACGGCAGCACAGUAAGAGCUUGCUCUUACGGGUGGCGAGUGGCGGACGGGUGAGGAAUACAUCGGAAUCUACUUUUCGUGGGGGAUAACGUAGGGAAACUUACGCUAAUACCGCAUACGACCUACGGGUGAAAGCAGGGGAUCUUCGGACCUUGCGCGAUUGAAUGAGCCGAUGUCGGAUUAGCUAGUUGGCGGGGUAAAGGCCCACCAAGGCGACGAUCCGUAGCUGGUCUGAGAGGAUGAUCAGCCGCACUGGAACUGAGACACGGUCCAGACUCCUACGGGAGGCAGCAGUGGGGAAUAUUGGACAAUGGGCGCAAGCCUGAUCCAGCCAUACCGCGUGGGUGAAGAAGGCCUUCGGGUUGUAAAGCCCUUUUGUUGGGAAAGAAAAGCAGCAGGUUAAUACCCCGCUGUUCUGACGGUACCCAAAGAAUAAGCACCGGCUAACUUCGUG